CACACAUCAUGGGGACACCUGGAGUAGUUCCCAGCUUAUGCUGCGAACUCUUCAAUUUCUACCCUACCAAAGCUUCAGCAGGACUCUCACCAGGCUCACUUAAAUGCUGGAAAAAAACAAGAAUUGAGACACACUGUGGUUGGUAGCAGGAGAAAAUUGGAUGAUAAUUGCCGGCUUGCUCGCUUAGAAGUGAGAAGAAGGGAGAACAUUUUGGAAGAAUCUCGUAGGAGGAACAGGCUUUUCUCCCCACAUGACCUCUUCUGAAGGAACGGUCUAUACUAAGGGAUGGCUGAAAAGGAGGUGACAGGUCACAACGUAUUUCUUCCAAGUGUUCCUCAUGAUGUGGGCGUUGCUGACUAGGCCAGCAUUUAUUGCCCAUGUUUA